rnacentral:sRNA from 1 species
AGUCUCCGUCCAAGACCGUAGGCGUUAUCCUCGGAUAACUUAAUAAAACCUACGUAGAUGGUGCCCGAACUGA